AAGAACCAAGAUGGUCUCUGGGGCUGGAGUGUCAGCUGUAGUGCCCCUGCCCUCACCCAGCUGUCUGUUGUUACCCGCAGGGAACCCAGAUGAUCUUCAAUGCAGCCAAGGAGCUGGGUCAGCUGUCCAAACUCAAGGAUCACAUGGUACGAGAAGAAGCCAAAAGCUUGACCCCAAAGCAGUGCGCGGUUGUUGAGUUGGCCCUGGACACCAUCAAGCAAUAUUUCCACGCGGGUGGCGUGGGCCUCAAGAAGACCUUCCUGGAGAAGAGCCCGGACCUGCAAUCCUUGCGCUAUGCCCUGUCGCUCUACACGCAGGCCACCGACCUGCUGAUCAAGACCUUUGUACAGACGCAAUCGGCCCAGGGCCUGGGUGUAGAAGACCCUGUGGGUGAAGUCUCUGUCCAUGUUGAGCUGUUCACUCAUCCAGGAACUGGGGAACACAAGGUCACAGUGAAAGUGGUGGCUGCCAAUGACCUCAAGUGGCAGACUUCUGGCAUCUUCCGGCCGUUCAUCGAGGUCAACAUCAUUGGGCCCCAGCUCAGCGACAAGAAACGCAAGUUUGCGACCAAAUCCAAGAACAAU
rnacentral:sRNA from 1 species